rnacentral:rRNA from 1 species
UUUCCGGUUGAUCCUGCCGGACCUGACUGCUAUCGGAUUGAUACUAAGCCAUGCGAGUCUUUGUAGUAAUACAAGGCAGACGGCUCAGUAACACGUAGUCAACCUACCCUAUGGACAAGAAUAAUCUCGGGAAACUGGGCAUAAUUCUUGAUAGAUCAUAAUGCCUGGAAUGGUUUAUGGUUAAAAUGAUUCGUCGCCAUAGGAUGGGACUGCGGCCUAUCAGCUUGUUGGUGAGGUAAUGGCCCACCAAGGCGAUUACAGGUACGAGCUCUGAGAGGAGAAGCCCGGAGAUGGGUACUGAGACACGGACCCAGGCCCUAUGGGGCGCAGCAGGCGAGAAAACUUUGCAAUGUGCGAAAGCACGACAAGGUUAAUCCGAGUGAUUUCUGCUAAAGAAAUCUUUUGCCAGUCAUAAAACCACCGGUGAAUAAGGGGUGGGCAAGUUCUGGUGUCAGCCGCCGCGGUAAAACCAGCACCUCAAGUGGUCAGGAUGAUUAUUGGGCCUAAAGCAUCCGUAGCCGGCUUUGUAAGUUUUCGGUUAAAUCCAUGUGCUCAACGCAUGGGCUGCCGAAAAUACUGCAUGGCUAGGGAGUGGGAGAGGUAGACGGUACUCAGUAGGAAGGGGUAAAAUCCUUUGAUCCAUUGAUGACCACCUGUGGCGAAGGCGGUCUACCAGAACACGUUCGACGGUGAGGGAUGAAAGCUGGGGGAGCAAACCGGAUUAGAUACCCGGGUAGUCCCAGCUGUAAACGAUGCAGACUCGAUGAUGCAUUGGCAUAAUAGCCAGUGCAGUGUCGCAGGGAAGCCGUUAAGUCUGCCGCCUGGGAAGUACGUACGCAAGUAUGAAACUUAAAGGAAUUGGCGGGGGAGCACCACAAGGGGUGAAGCCUGCGGUUCAAUUGGAGUCAACGCCGGG